UGGACAAAUGAGAAAGUAGAGUAUGAGAUGGAUAUGAUUGAGUCAGCCGUGAAAUCACUCAGGUCACUCAGGGCGUUGAUGCCUGCAAAAGAAAGGCAUGAAAGGUGCCUUACAUCACUACUGCUUUGAUGGAUGCGAAGCGUGGCACGGAAGGGCGCAAGGAUUUUUUGAUUGGCUAUCAAGGCAACUUAGUGGAUUAAGCAAUUUUCGUGAUGCUGUAAAUCUGAAUUAUGUAUUGUUUCAAUUUGUUAUGCUAGAUGGAUGUGACUUGUGAAUGAAAACUUAGAAUAGUUGUAUUGUGUCGAAUGUUAAUGAAUUAUGUAUUGUGUCGAAUGUUAAUGAUUCAGUUAAUUUGAA